rnacentral:rRNA from 1 species
UACGUAGGGUGCAAGCGUUAAUCGGAAUUACUGGGCGUAAAGGGUUCGUAGGUGGUGCGGCAAGUUGGGAGUGAAAUCUCUGGGCUUAGCUCAGAGGCUGCUUUCAAAACUGCCGCGCUCGAGUGCGAGAGAGGUCAGUGGAAUUGCAGGUGUAGCGGUGAAAUGCGUAGAUAUCUGCAGGAACACCCGUGGCGAAGGCGGCUGACUGGAUCGCAACUGACACUGAGGAACGAAAGCUAGGGGAGCAAACAGG